rnacentral:rRNA from 1 species
UACGUAGGGCGCAAGCGUUGUCCGGAAUUACUGGGCGUAAAGCGUGCGCAGGCGGUUCGUUAAGUCAGCUGUGAAAGCCCCGGGCUUAACCUGGGAAUGGCGGUUGAAACUGGCGAACUUGAAUCUGGCAGAGGGGGGUGGAAUUCCACGUGUAGCAGUGAAAUGCGUAGAGAUGUGGAGGAACACCGGUGGCGAAGGCGGGACUCUGGGCCGAUACUGACGCUGAGGAGCGAAAGCGUGGGGAGCGAACAGG